rnacentral:rRNA from 1 species
AUGGACUUUCCUCGCAUCUCCACUCAUGUCGGCCUCUCUGUGCUUCGCUUCGGGUGGGGUGGCUCUGCUCUGGUCUACUCCGUCUCCUACCACCCUUGUUACUUUAGCACAAAUAAAUAUACUAGCAGCAGUGGUGAUCGCGGAUUAAGGAUUCGGGCCAGCGCGUCAUAUGCAUGUGCCGGUCCUCUCCUACAUGGCGGACUGGACCGACCAUUACUGCCUCUGCUGCUGUCUUUGUGUGUGCACACAGGGCGCCGUCGCCGUCGCCGUCGCCGUGCGAGAAAAUCUACUAGUCUAGCUGGGAACGUGCACUGGCCUAUGCGCUCUCCUAAACUACCAGCGAGUCUGUGA